CCUGUCUGGAAAGCUAGAGGCUUUGCAGAUGUGUCUGCUGUAUCACGUGUGCCUCCGUAGGUGACAGAGAGGAAAGAGUCUAUGUCUCCACUGUGUUCUGACCUGUGAACAUCUCAACAGUGAGCAUCCUAACCGU